rnacentral:rRNA from 1 species
UACGGAGGGAGCUAGCGUUGUUCGGAAUUACUGGGCGUAAAGCGCGCGUAGGCGGCUUUGUAAGUUAGAGGUGAAAGCCCGGGGCUCAACUCCGGAACUGCCUUUAAGACUGCAUCGCUUGAAUCCGGGAGAGGUGAGUGGAAUUCCGAGUGUAGAGGUGAAAUUCGCAGAUAUCGGGAAGAACACCCGUGGCGAAGGCGGCUCUCUGGGACGGUACUGACGCUGAGACGCGAAAGCGUGGGGAGCAAACAGG